GGUGGAGUAGCCGAGAUGGUUCAGGCAAGCGCCUGCAAAGCGUUGUACGCGGGUUCGAGUCCCGUCUCCACCU
rnacentral:tRNA from 1 species